rnacentral:tRNA from 1 species
GUGGCUGUAGCUCAGGGGUAGAGCGCUGCUCUGUGGAAGCAGAUGUCGGGGGUUCGAAUCCCCUCAGUCACCCA